rnacentral:rRNA from 1 species
AAACAUAGCCCUAGAUAAAAUCUAAGGUGUAACCUGCCCAGUGAUUUCUAAUUAAUAGUUUAAAGCACUUCAAAAGAAAUUAAAAGGACGCGGUAACCUUGACCGUGGUAAUGUAGCAUAAUCACUCGCCAUUUAAUUGGUGGAUAGUAUGAAUGGUUGAACGAAUAUUCCACUGUCUUAGAAAGAAUUAAUUUAAAUUGAAAUAAUAGUUAAGAUGCUAUUUUAAACUGUAAGACGAAAAGACCCUAUAGAGCUUAACUAUAAUCUCUAUGCUUAAAAUAAACAAUAAUUUUAUACUCAUAGAGAUUGGUAGUUUAGUUGGGGCGACUAUCUUCUAAAAUUAACGAAGACAAGCAAUGUUAAUAAAUAACUUAUUGUAUAAUUAAAUUAUUUAACAAUUAUAAAAAUAGGCUAUAUUGACCCGUUAGGUCACAAUAAAAUGCCUAACGAUCAAUUAAUAAAAGCUACCUUAGGGAUAACAGGAUAAUUUCAUUUUAGAGUUCCUAUCGAAAAUGAAGUUUGUCACCUCUAUGUUGAAUUAAGAUAUCCUGAUAAUGCAGCAGU